rnacentral:rRNA from 1 species
CCUACGGGUGGCUGCAGUGGGGAAUAUUGGACAAUGGGCGAAAGCCUGAUCCAGCCAUGCCGCGUGUGUGAAGAAGGCCUUCGGGUUGUAAAGCACUUUCAGUGGGGAAGAAAGCCUUGGGGCUAAUACCCUCGAGGAAGGACAUCACCCACAGAAGAAGCACCGGCUAACUCCGUGCCAGCAGCCGCGGUAAUACGGAGGGUGCGAGCGUUAAUCGGAAUUACUGGGCGUAAAGCGAGCGUAGGCGGUCUGAUAAGCCGGUUGUGAAAGCCCCGGGCUCAACUUGGGAACGGCAUCCGGAACUGUCAGGCUAGAGUGCAGGAGAGGAAGGUAGAAUUCCCGGUGUAGCGGUGAAAUGCGUAGAGAUCGGGAGGAAUACCAGUGGCGAAGGCGGCCUUCUGGACUGACACUGACGCUGAGGUGCGAAAGCGUGGGUAGCAAACAGGAUUAGAUACCCCUGUAGUC